rnacentral:SRP_RNA from 1 species
GCCGGGCGCGGUGGCUCACGCCUGUAAUCCCAGCACUUUGGGAGGCCGAGGCGGGAGGAUCACCUGAGGUCGGGAGUUCGAAAUUAGCCUGACCAACAUGGAGAAACCCCGUCUCUA